UGCAGUCGAGCGGAUGAAGGGGGCUUGCUCCUGGAUUCAGCGGCGGACGGGUGAGUAAUGCCUAGGAAUCUGCCUGGUAGUGGGGGAUAACGUCCGGAAACGGGCGCUAAUACCGCAUACGUCCUGAGGGAGAAAGUGGGGGAUCUUCGGACCUCACGCUAUCAGAUGAGCCUAGGUCGGAUUAGCUAGUUGGUGGGGUAAAGGCCUACCAAGGCGACGAUCCGUAACUGGUCUGAGAGGAUGAUCAGUCACACUGGAACUGAGACACGGUCCAGACUCCUACGGGAGGCAGCAGUGGGGAAUAUUGGACAAUGGGCGAAAGCCUGAUCCAGCCAUGCCGCGUGUGUGAAGAAGGUCUUCGGAUUGUAAAGCACUUUAAGUUGGGAGGAAGGGCAGUAAGUUAAUACCUUGCUGUUUUGACGUUACCAACAGAAUAAGCACCGGCUAACUUCGUGCCAGCAGCCGCGGUAAUACGAAGGGUGCAAGCGUUAAUCGGAAUUACUGGGCGUAAAGCGCGCGUAGGUGGUUCAGCAAGUUGGAUGUGAAAUCCCCGGGCUCAACCUGGGAACUGCAUCCAAAACUACUGAGCUAGAGUACGGUAGAGGGUGGUGGAAUUUCCUGUGUAGCGGUGAAAUGCGUAGAUAUAGGAAGGAACACCAGUGGCGAAGGCGACCACCUGGACUGAUACUGACACUGAGGUGCGAAAGCGUGGGGAGCAAACAGGAUUAGAUACCCUGGUAGUCCACGCCGUAAACGAUGUCGACUAGCCGUUGGGAUCCUUGAGAUCUUAGUGGCGCAGCUAACGCGAUAAGUCGACCGCCUGGGGAGUACGGCCGCAAGGUUAAAACUCAAAUGAAUUGACGGGGGCCCGCACAAGCGGUGGAGCAUGUGGUUUAAUU
rnacentral:rRNA from 1 species